UCCUCUUCGUAAUGUUUCUUGCUCAAAUGAGUAUUCCAGCCACAGUUUGCAUGCAGCUUGCAUAUAUAUAUAUAAGAACAUGUAUGUGUAUAUAUAUAUAGCACUGGUGCUUCUGCAAUCCUGAGAUGCUCAUUUGGGCAAGCAACGUUACAAGAGGA
rnacentral:pre_miRNA from 1 species